rnacentral:rRNA from 1 species
UACGGGGGGGGUAAGCGUUGUUCGGAAUUACUGGGCGUAAAGGGCUCGUAGGCGGCCAACUAAGUCAGACGUGAAAUCCCUCAGCUUAACUGGGGAACUGCGUCUGAUACUGGAUGGCUUGGAUUUGGGAGAGGAAUGCGGAAUUCCAGGUGUAGCGGUGAAAUGCGUAGAUAUCUGGAGGAACACCGGUGGCGAAGGCGGCAUUCUGGACCAAUAUUGACGCUGAGGCACGAAGGUCAGGGGAGCAAACGGG